CUAGCUAGUAGUGUGGUCAUAAGUCGAACUAUUAUUUGGUAUUUUACUAAAGAAUACCGUGAGCUCACCACUUUAAACGGCUUUAAUCCUAAUUUUGGAGAAGUAACUUCUGAAUUU
rfam:Capsella rubella cultivar Monte Gargano unplaced genomic scaffold scaffold_3, whole genome shotgun sequence.